rnacentral:rRNA from 1 species
AUUGAACGCUGGCGGCAGGCCUAACACAUGCAAGUCGAACGGUAGCACAGAGAGCUUGCUCUCGGGUGACGAGUGGCGGACGGGUGAGUAAUGUCUGGGAAACUGCCCGAUGGAGGGGGAUAACUACUGGAAACGGUAGCUAAUACCGCAUAACGUCGCAAGACCAAAGUGGGGGACCUUCGGGCCUCACACCAUCGGAUGUGCCCAGAUGGGAUUAGCUAGUAGGUGGGGUAAUGGCUCACCUAGGCGACGAUCCCUAGCUGGUCUGAGAGGAUGACCAGCCACACUGGAACUGAGACACGGUCCAGACUCCUACGGGAGGCAGCAGUGGGGAGUAUUGCACAAUGGGCGCAAGCCUGAUGCAGCCAUGCCGCGUGUAUGAAGAAGGCCUUCGGGUUGUAAAGUACUUUCAGCGGGGAGGAAGGCGGUGAAGUUAAUAGCUUCACCGAUUGACGUUACCCGCAGAAGAAGCACCGGCUAACUCCGUGCCAGCCGCCGCUGUAA